rnacentral:rRNA from 1 species
AGGCGGCGUAAGCUGUCGCUAUGGGAUGGCCCCGCGGUGCAUUAGCUAGUUGGUAAGGUAACGGCUUACCAAGGCGAUGAUGCAUAGCCGAGUUGAGAGACUGAUCGGCCACAUUGGGACUGAGACACGGCCCAAACUCCUACGGGAGGCAGCAGUAGGGAAUCUUCCACAAUGGACGCAAGUCUGAUGGAGCAACGCCGCGUGAGUGAAGAAGGUUUUCGGAUCGUAAAGCUCUGUUGUUGGUGAAGAAGGAUAGAGGUAGUANCUGNCCUUUAUU